rnacentral:rRNA from 1 species
GAUGAACGCUAGCUACAGGCUUAACACAUGCAAGUCGAGGGGAAACGAUAUUGGAAGCUUGCUUCCGAUAGGCGCCGACCGGCGCACGGGUGAGUAACGCGUAUCCAACCUGCCCACCACUUGGGGAUAACCUUGCGAAAGUAAGACUAAUACCCAAUGACGUCCAUAGAAGACAUCUGAAAUGGAUCAAAGAUUCAUCGGUGAUGGAUGGGGAUGCGUCUGAUUAGCUUGUUGGUGGGGUAACGGCCCACCAAGGCGACGAUCAGUAGGGGUUCUGAGAGGAAGGUCCCCCACAUUGGAACUGAGACACGGUCCAAACUCCUACAGGAGGCAGCAGUGAGGAAUAUUGGUCAAUGGGCGAGAGCCUGAACCAGCCAAGUAGCGUGCAGGAUGACGGCCCUAUGGGUUGUAAACUGCUUUUAUAAGGGAAUAAAGUGAGCCUCGUGAGGCUUUUUGCAUGUACCUUAUGAAUAAGGACCGGCUAAUUCCGUGCCAGCCGCCGCCGUAA